GACAGAGGGUGCAAACGUUGUUCGGAAUUACUGGGCGUAAAGCGUGUGUAGGCGGUCCGCUAAGUCGGGUGUGAAAGCCCUGGGCUCAACCCAGGAAGUGCACUCGAAACUGGCGGGCUAGAGUAUCGGAGAGGUUGGUGGAAUUCCCGGUGUAGCGGUGGAAUGCGUAGAUAUCGGGAAGAACACCGGUGGCGAAGGCGGCUCGCUGGGCCGUUGCUGACGCUGAGGCGCGAAAGCGUGGGGAGCAAACAGG
rnacentral:rRNA from 1 species